rnacentral:snoRNA from 1 species
UGUCUGAUGCCACGUCGAAGGUAGCUCUUUUUUUGGGGGGCAAUGAUCCUAACUCGACGCUAUAUUGGAUAUAAACAAAUGUACGUGUUUCGCUUACUGAUAGGAACCUGUGGAUCUUGUUUUACGAUCUACGGAGCCAUAGCGAUUAAAAUU